GUACCCUCAAGUUUGCUCAACGUGCAAGGCGCAUUCAAAACAAUGCUCUUGUGAAUGAAGACUCUUUAGGAGACGUUCAGACUUUGCAAAAUCAAAUAUAUAUCCUAAAGGAGAGGGAGUCUGCUGACAACGAAUUGCAGAUGUUGCAGUCUCAAAUAGCCAAGCUUCUGCAAGAAAAAGAAAAUGCGAGAGAAUGCCAUCUCAAGAGUCAAGAAACCAUUGACGAUUUAA